GGAAAGCAGUCUGCAGCCAGCAAUGACCCAUUCAGGAGCCUCAGCCAUGUACUUACCUUUUUUUGGGGGCUUGCAGCCACUUCUCGCUGACUCCAGGGCUUUGCAGGAGUGAUUGCUUGCAUAGGGCCAGCAGGUUCAAGCCUCUACAAGUCCAAUAUUUAUAAUAUUCAGCAUUGCUUGUUCCACAUAAUCACAAAACCUGAUAUGAAACAGCUCCCAAGGCUCCAGCCAAGGCCAGAGUGAAGACAAACCCCAGCUCAAAUUGUUCAGCUGAAUCAUGGAGAUGUGUCAUAAUUCAAUAUAAUGUUUCCCAGCAGGACAUCUGAGGGCAGAUUCUGGUUACAUGAGACUCAGAGCACCCUUCCCUCCAUCUAUUCAGCAUCACAGAAUCCCAGAAUGUCAGGGAUUGGAAGGGACCUGGAAAGCUCAUCCAGUGCAAUCCCCCAUGGAGCAGGAACACCCAGAUGAGGUUACACAGGAAGGUGUCCAGGCGGGUUGGAAUGUCUGCACAGAAGGAGACUCCACAGCCCCCUGGGCAGCCUGGGCCAGGCUCUGCCACCCUCACCCCCAACAAGUUUCUUCUCAAAUUUAAGUGGAACCUCCUGUGUUCCAGUUUGAACCCAUUGCCCCUUGUCCUAUCAUUGGUUGUCACUGAGAAGAGCCUGGCUCCAUCCUCCUGACACUCACCCUUUACAUAUUUGUAAACAUUAAUAAGGUCACCCCUCAGUCUCCUCUUCCCCAGGCUCCAGAGCCCCAGCUCCCUCAGCCUUUCCACCUGUGUUGGCCCGAGCAGGACCCUUCUCUGCAUGGUACAAAGUACCUUUCCUGGUGGCUUAUGAAGUGGGCAGACACUUUGUUUACAGACUAAGCUAUACAGACUAAGCACAGAUUUUUAUCGUAAGGAGGCAAGUUGUCUCCUUAAAUCGUGCCACGCUACUGGCUGAUCAUGGGCCAUUUCAUGGUUUGAUAUCGUUAGUGUCCCCUUCUAGGAUGGGAGCUCAAAAAUAAAGGGGGCAUCAUCGAGGAUGUCAUCAGCAAGACCUGGCUUACACUUUAUGUGGGACAUCAUUAACCCCUUGAAUAUGAAUUAGAGUGUCUUCUAAAUGGUGACAAUGCUACUGGUUGCACUGAACUGCCAAAGCCUGAGCUAUAAUUUGUAAGCCUCUUGUAAAUCAAUGCAAAACCACAGGAGAAAAUAAGCCAGCAGCAUCAUGUAAAGGGAGAAAUCCCUGUCAGUCCUGAAUGCCAAGUUCACAUGUCUCUUAGCAUUAAAAAACUCCUCACAAAUCUGAAUAUGAAGCUUAAAAAAUGGCACUAGAUGGCAGCAUGUGACACCACAAGCUGCAGUCCGGGCUGUGCAUCAUUCCUCCAUGCCACCAAGGCAGAUAAACUCCUGCAUCUGUCCCCUCAUCUCACUGCACCUGGUGGGGUGGCCAAGUCUCAGGAUUUUGGCUAAAGUUGUGUCACAGGCUGCAAAAUCAACUCUUUCAUCUCUGUGAACCUCAUGGGAUUUUUCUCUGGAAACACUCCCUGACUGAAAUCCUUUAGAAGUCCUUGGGAAGGCCACAUCAUCCUGCUUUGCUGUCUUUGAAAAUAUUCCCGCAGGGAUAAGGGUUUUUGCUGGUGCCAUUUAUACUCCCUAACAGCAAUGGCAGAAUCAGGGGGUAGGAUUAACAGAUUUGUUGUCCUGCAAUAAGUGUUAACAAUGUCUGAAUAAUACAUAAUUAGAGCUCUAAUGGAAAUAAGAUCAAUGAGUAAAAAUUAUGUGCUGGCAGGAAAUUUUAAAAUGAGGUUGUGAUUCCAUGUGACAGUUCACAGGGUGUAGCUGGGUUCAUUCCAGGUGCUGCUGCCUCAUCCUCACACCAAAUCCAAGGACACAUUAUUCAACAGUCGGUGGCUGCCUGUUCUCUCUGAAGCCACCGGUCUUGGCCAGAGCCACAGCCUGGAGUGUUGGGGUUUUAUCUGACCCUGUCCGGUGUCUCUUCCCUUCUUUAUUGUAUUAAGUAGACCUUAAUCACAGCAAGGAAGGCGUGAGCCAAGCAGCUCUGCUUCAGCAGCUUUGCUGCCGUGGGACAUGUGCAGAGGGCUGGUCACCAAAUUUUGGGAGAGUAGAGAUGCUCUCAGGGGGUCUCAGAGCAGCACAGGGAGAUGACAUGUUCACCCAAGGGUUUUAAUGGCAAGGGGUUAUACAGGUGGCUGGGAAGGAACGUGACCAGCGCGGGCAGCUGAAGGACAGGUUGGUCCUGGUGUAACCCAGGGCUGGGACAACCAUCACCUACAGGAAUGCUGCAGAGAAGGCCAUGGCCCAUCAGGGCAAAUACAUCUCUUUCAUGGGUUAAACAGCCAAGAAGUGUGUUUUCUUUUGUUUGUCCCCAGCCACUGCUAAGGACUCCCUCCAGCCGCCUGAUUAGGCUGCUAAUGGGCCCCAUGCAGCUGGGCUCUCUUGGAGGGUCUCAGCAGCAGGGCCUUAAUUGCUAAUUAAAAGUCCUGCCUAAAUGAGGGUAUAGGGCAAUGGGAGAAGUAUUUCCAUCAGCUGAAUACUUCCUGGAGCAGGAUACUCUGCUUCACCCAUGCUUGAGGGGUCUGCUAAAGUUCUUCCCUUUCUCUGUCUGGUUUUAUUGUUUGCUCCCAGUAUUAGAGCCCGCAGAUCUGGGCUGAGCAGCAGAGAAGAAACACAGCUGAAAGCCUUGGGCUGGGAUGCCAGAGAGGAAAGAUUUGAUUAAUAAAGUGGGGGAGCUGCAGCUCUGGGGCAUCCAGAGUGAUGCUGGUGUCCCCAGUGUCCCGCCCUGAGCCUCUGUGGGCAUGCGGAGAAGGAGGGAGGACUCCAUCUUAGCCAAACGUCGUCAGCUUUGCAUCUUAAAUAGUGAGCAGGGGAUGUUCAUCUUAUCCCAGGCACGGCUGAGGAUUCCAGUGGUGCCGAGAUAACAUUGUCCAUGGUGCCCGGUUGCUGAGCGCUCUGGAGCGUGUACGUGCAGGCAGCGAUGCUUGAGGUUGUUGCCAAAAAGAUGGACCCAAUUUAAAAUCACUUCAUCUCUGCAACCAUGAGCUGCCCAUGAAUUAAACUCUUACAGUCCAUUAAGCAGAUGUCCUGGGUGUUGUGUUGGGUAGGACAUCGAUGGGUUUCCACUGGCUGCAAGCACAAUAUUCAAUAGAGAGGAGUUCAGCUCCAGUUCAGAGUAAAUGUCGGUUUUAAGCAUACAAGUAGUGAGGGAAUUUAAGCUAUAUUCACAGAAUAUACAUCUGCGUGCAGCUGAAGUCCACCGGCCCUAAGCUAGUGGUAUAGACACUGU